CGAAGAUUUAGUCUGCAGACACCAUUGAGGGGAGUGACCAGACAGUCAUUGCCUCUUCUCCACCUGUUGCUUGCAGUGAUGUCACUUGUAACACAGUUGUGAGUUCUUUAGUUUUUGAUGCAAGGUGUGACAGUCCAGGUGUCAGCGCCAAGUACUGUAUCUAUUUGUUUCAGGAUGACUUCACUAAAGAGAUUGUUCACUUUGAAAUGGUUCAGGUGACUGAAGCAAGCAGUUCACUGGCAAUGGAGUUGGUUGGUUUCCAGAGGGGUUUAGAAUACUUGCUGGAGAGGGGGGAUCAAUUCGCAAAAUACUGAGGGAAGAGUGCAACAAUAUCCAACACGAAUUUGAUCCCUGGCACGUCAGCAAGAAUCACCAGAGACGCGAGAGGUGGCUGGAGUCGGACUCACCAGCUUUUCUUGGACUGCAGGAGUAUAGUGAUGGACAAAUUCUCCUGAGAGACUUGAGGCAGAUGUCACUCUUCAAGCACACUGGCCACAUAUGUCCUUGGCAACUAGGGAGGCGUCUGGCUCAUGCAAUGAGCCAUUCAUUCAUGUAUCAAUUCUGGCAAUACCAGCAGGCCCAAUAUCCUCCCACUGCAGAAAACAAAUGUGCGUUCGCACGUGGUGGGGGUUCUCGUCAACGCAGACUGGAACACCCCCUUCUACUUCUUCGUCCCCUUUCUUGCUGAACUGUACUAAAAUGUCAAAGUAUACUACUCCGACUAAUCCUUAAUCCGUGUUGUAAAUAAACUUCCAAA
ensembl:lncRNA